UACGGAGGGUGCAAGCGUUAUCCGGAUUCACUGGGUUUAAAGGGUGUGUAGGCGGGCAGGUAAGUCAGUGGUGAAAUCUCCGAGCUUAACUCGGAAACUGCCAUUGAUACUAUUUGUCUUGAAUUUUGUUGAGGUGGGCGGAAUAUGUCAUGUAGCGGUGAAAUGCAUAGAUAUGACAUAGAACACCGAUUGCGAAGGCAGCUCACUAAGCAAGUAUUGACGCUGAGGCACGAAAGCGUGGGGAU
rnacentral:rRNA from 1 species